rnacentral:rRNA from 1 species
GUCCACGCCGUAAACGAUGAGUGCUAGAUAUCAGCUUAUGUUGGUGUCAAAGUUAACACAUUAAGCACUCCGCCUGGGGAGUACGGUCGCAAGAUUAAAACUCAAAGGAAUUGACGGGGCCCGCACAAGCGGUGGAGUAUGCGGUUUAAUUCGAAGCUACGCGAAGAACCUUACCAGCUCUUGACAUGCGGAUCGCGGAGUCCGGAAACGGAUUCCUUCAGUUCGGCUGGAUCCUGCACAGGUGUUGCAUGGUUGUCGU